GCUCUCAUCAUUUUAGUUUAAAUGUUGUUAUUGUUCAGUUACUACCAUUGUAGUGACUGAUUUUCACUGUUAUUUCCAGUCUUACGGUUUAAAUUAAUUUUUAGAUUGUAACCCUAACAUUUGUAAAAAAAAAAAAAAAAAUACUGGCACUGACAGCUUUUCUUUCACUGUUUCUUAAGCUGUACCGUUUUGUUAAAUUGUUAGCUCCCACACUUUCGUUAUACUGUACAAUAACAAUACAUGUUGUGACGUCAUUUGUUUGCGACGGAAACGCCAGGUGCCUCAAAGUUAUGGUUCCCCGGGGACAUCCGACAUGUACGACUUUCCGUCAUCCUACACCGGAGAAACCCGAAAAUCAUACAAGGGCUUGGAGGUAUACAAAUGGACACAAACUAGAGCCGGCUUCGUCGACUGUAUCCGUGAAAUACUUCGUUGUUGUCACCAGGAGGAUACACCGUUCCCGCACUGAUGUCCCGAGUUUCAGCUUAAAGUCCCGUCCCUGUGCAGCCGUGCCGAGACAUAUUUUAUUUUUGCACAGCAACGGUGCAGCUGAGUGCAGACGAACACAUCUGAGCGGGAGCAGAGCUAAUUUGCACACAAGUGGAGGCUGUUUGAGAGCAGGGGUGUGGCAGGGUGUCGAGGAACAGUGCUGAGCAGAAAAACAAAAAUUGAAUGAAUAAAUAAAACUGUGAAAAUGAAAAAAGACCACAGUCUGGAAUAGAAAACAGGAGAGAAAAAAACACCUCCGUUGUGUUCAUCCUCGGUGUUCCUACACCGUGUUCCAGAUGGGAGUUUUCCCAAAAAGAAAAGCAUUUUGUAAAUAAUAUAUAAACAAGUGAAACUUCAGUUAAGCCGGAUUUCUUGGCUCCGCUGCCUCCCGACUUCAGACUGGUUCCUGACGACGUCCACCUUCUCCUUCUAUCCAUCUCCAAAACUACGGCUAAAGGGACAAAAAAACACUGUUUUAUAGUAUAUAGGAGUAUUUAAAUAUGUAUGUUCUUUUUUCAAGCCAAGAUGAAACAUUAGAGAAACACAGUGUGGAGCUGACCUCACUGUACCGUCCCUGGAAUGUUCAGAGGGAACGACUGUAGUUGCUGCUGUUAGCUGUUCAGCUAAGUCAAGCCAUGAUGGACGUCUCCUCUGCAGGACAGUGAAGACCUCAGCUGUGGUGGGAGAACCAACAGGAAUCCUGACACCAAAAGAAAAAAGCGGUGAAUUACCGAGACGGUCACUGAUGUCUGGGCUUUUCUUCAUUUCCCUCCCCUGUCACCGUGGGCCCCUGACUGCAGCGCCUCAUCAUGGACAUCUACAGGAUAAGGAAUGUUUGGCGGAGGGACACAUUCUUGUCUGGUGAUGCGGUCGGCUGUUCGGUUGAGCUCCGCCAACAACAAGGUUGGGGAAUUUAAUUUUUUUUUCUUUUUCUUUCUCUUUUCUCCAUCCAAUGUACCUGCGGCUGAAACAUGAUGCUACAUUCUGGUGAGGUCGAGGCUAAAGAGUAGCUAAUCCAGGCCUGCCUCCUUCCUACUUAAGGUCUUGGCCACCAAGGACCCAGACCCACCAGAGCUGACGGGAGACUCCAUCUUGAUCCCUGUCAUGGUUGUUUUUUUUUUCCAUAUUCCUUUUGAAGAGCAGCAUUGAAAGAUAAGUUUGUUCUUCUCUGCUACAUUAAAUUGUUCCAUUAUGUUACUUACAAUCAGUUAUUUAUGAGUUUGUUUUUCUGGUAUGUUUUUCAUGUUUCAUUAUACCACCCCCUUUAGGGUUGACUGUUAACAAAUCACCAUCAGAUUUCAUGGAUUUUCUAAAAUUUUACGUUUGGUCUCUAAGGACUAAACUACUUUAUUAAUCCGAUAGAUUUUACUUUACAAACGCUCAGAAUUGAGUUGGCUGGAUUUCUUUUCACACUUCACUUCACCACCACAAACACUUACCCUUCCUAACACAAACCACUCUUUACCCCUUUUCUUGGUGUUUAAAGAAAUCCAGGCAAUAUUUCUUAGACAGUGAUAUGCU